UGGUGGCGUGAUUUGCCUGCUUAGUUGCUUAAUUCCGUUAACGAACGAGACCGCAACCUGCUAAAUAGUUACAUGUAGCUUCCGUUGCAGGGUUGCUUCUUGGCGGAACUCUUGGUGGCUAGCUCCACGAAUUUGGAGGCAGUGCCG
rnacentral:rRNA from 1 species